rnacentral:rRNA from 1 species
AGAGUUUGAUCCUGGCUCAGGACGAACGCUGGCGGCGUGCUUAACACAUGCAAGUCGAACGGAGCGCCCCUGAAAGAGUUUUCGGACAAUGGAAGGGAACGCUUAGUGGCGGACUGGUGAGUAACGCGUGAGGAACCUGCCUUUCGAGGGGGACAACAGUUGGAAACGACUGCUAAUACCGCAUGACACAUGACUGUGGCAUCGCAGACAUGUCAAAGAUUUUAUCGCCGAAAGAUGGCCUCGCGUCUGAUUAGCUAGUUGGUGAGGUAACGGCUCACCAAGGCGACGAUCAGUAGCCGGACUGAGAGGUUGGCCGGCCACAUUGGGACUGAGAUACGGCCCAGACUCCUACGGGAGGCAGCAGUGGGGAAUACUGGGCAAUGGACGCAAGUCUGACCCAGCAACGCCGCGCGAAGGAAGAAGGCUUUCGGGUUGUAAACUUCUUUUAAGGGGGAAGAGCAGAAGACGGUACCCCUUGAAUAAGCCACGGCUAACUACGUG